rnacentral:rRNA from 1 species
GACGAACGCUGGCGGCGCGCCUAACACAUGCAAGUCGAACGAGAGAGAAGGAGCUUGCUUCUUCGAUCGAGUGGCGAACGGGUGAGUAACGCGUGAGGAACCUGCCUCAAAGAGGGGGACAACAGUUGGAAACGACUGCUAAUACCGCAUAAGCCCACGGGUCGGCAUCGACCAGAGGGAAAAGGAGCAAUCCGCUUUGAGAUGGCCUCGCGUCCGAUUAGCUAGUUGGUGAGGUAAUGGCCCACCAAGGCGACGAUCGGUAGCCGGACUGAGAGGUUGAACGGCCACAUUGGGACUGAGACACGGCCCAGACUCCUACGGGAGGCAGCAGUGGGGAAUAUUGCACAAUGGGGGAAACCCUGAUGCAGCGACGCCGCGUGGAGGAAGAAGGUCU